CGGCGAGUGAAGCGGCAACAGCUCAAAUUUGAAAUCUGGGGUCUUGCGGCCUCCGAGUUGUAGUUUGCAGAGGGAGCCUCGGAGGGCUUGUCGGUCCAAGUGCCUUGGAACAGGAUACCGCAGAGGGUGAGAGUCCCGUAUCCGGCCGACGUAGCGCUCCGUGUGAGGCCUCUUCGACGAGUCGAGUUGUUUGGGAAUGCAGCUCCAAGCGGGUGGUAAAUUCCAUCUAAAGCUAAAUACUGGCCAGAGACCGAUAGCGAACAAGUAGAGUGAUCGAAAGAUGAAAAGCACUUUGAAAAGAGAGUCAAACAGUACGUGAAAUUGUUGAAAGGGAAGCGCAUGGGGGCAGACUUGGCCGUGGGGUUCAGGGUGUCUAUUUUGGCGCCUGUAUUUCCCCGCGGACAGGCCAGCAUCGGUUCCGGGGGCCGGACAAAGGCGACGGGAACGUGGCUCUCCUCGGAGAGUGUUAUAGCCCGACGUGCAAUGCGGCC
rnacentral:rRNA from 2 species